rnacentral:pre_miRNA from 1 species
AGUGGGAUAGCUGGGUCAUAUGGUGAUCUUGUUCAUAGUUUUUUGAGGAAUCUCCAUACUGUUUUCCAGGGUGGUUGUACUAAUUUGCAGUCCCACCAACAAU